rnacentral:rRNA from 1 species
UACGUAGGGGGCAAGCGUUGUCCGGAAUCAUUGGGCGUAAAGCGCGUGUAGGCGGCUCGAUAAGUCUGCUGUGAAAGUUCAGGGCUCAACCCUGAAAUGCCGGUGGAAACUGUCGAGCUAGAGUCCGGGAGAGGCGAGUGGAAUUCCUGGUGUAGCGGUGAAAUGCGUAGAUAUCAGGAGGAACACCAAUGGCGAAGGCAGCUCGCUGGGACGGUACUGACGCUGAGACGCGAAAGCGUGGGGAG